GAAAUGCGAUAAGUAAUGUGAAUUGCAGAAUUCAGUGAAUCAUCGAAUCUUUGAACGCACCUUGCGCUCCUUGGUAUUCCUUGGAGCAUGCCUGUUUGAGUAUCAUGAAAUCUUCAAAGUAAAUCUUUUGUUAACUCAAUUGGUUUCUACUUUGGUAUUGGAGGUCUUUGCAGCUUCACACCUGCUCCUCUUUGUUCAUUAGCUGGAUCUCAGUGUUAUGCUUGGUUCCACUCGGCGUGAUAAGUUAUCUAUCGCUGAGGAUACUGUAAAAGGUGGCCAAGGUAAAUGCAGAUGAACCGCUUCUAAUAGUCCAUUGACUUGGACAAUACUCUUAUGAUCUGAUCUCAAAUCAGGUAGGACUACCCGCUGAACUUAAGC
rnacentral:misc_RNA from 1 species